rnacentral:rRNA from 1 species
UACAGAGGUCUCAAGCGUUUGUUCGGAUUCAUUGGGCGUAAAGGGUGCGUAGGCGGCGCGGUAAGUCGGGUGUGAAAUCUCGGGGCUUAACUCCGAAACUGCAUUCGAUACUGCCGUGCUUGAGGACUGGAGAGGAGACUGGAAUUUACGGUGUAGCGGUGAAAUGCGUAGAUAUCGGGAGGAACACCAGUGGCGAAGGCGACUACCUGGCCUGUUCUUGACGCUGAGGCGCGAAAGCUAGGGGAGCAAACGGG